AUGCGAGUAGUCCCUGACCCGCUGAAGGUGGGAAACCGAGAAACCAAGCUGGGAAAGAACAGACUUACCGCCUGCCCCGCAGAAGAUCCACUAGAUCGCCGGCUCCAAGAUCUGAGAGGCCUCAAACAGGUUCCAAAUCCGCAGAGUUCUCUGAGACUUCGAGUGUUUGGAAGGAUUCUAGAAAUCACUGGCAGAUCCCGGAUAUCUCAGACCCGCAGAUACAUCCACCCACUGAGUGACUUGAAUUCUACCCCCCCCCAACAUGACUCCAGGCUAUGCUUUUAUUAGUGAGUGUCCUGUUCCCAGUGCCCAGUUAUUUAUGGUUAAAUUACUCAAGUGUCUAAAAAGAACUAGGACCCUACCCAGCCAUGAGGCAGACUCCCACUCCCACUGCUCUUCCCAUCCCCAGCUGUGAGGUUAGGAAUUCUUUAGAUAGCUCAGAAUUGUACCAUCCUACCCCAUCUGAAAUUUAUUUGGGUACCACAAAAAAAAGAAAGAAAGAAGAAAGAAGAAUUGUAGAGGAUUCCCAAGAGACAAUAUCCAUAGAGCGAAGAGGGUGGGCAUCGAGGUCAAACAGACCUGAGUUGGAAUCCAGGCUGUCUAUCCUCUAGAUAGUCAUUCAAUCUCUCCAGGCCCAUUUCCCUUUAUGUAAAACAGGGCAAUCAUACCUAAGGCGGUGGUGGGCACUAAGUGAGAUGGCGUAAAGCCCUCCACACAGAAUGAACACUCAGAUGGUAGCUGUUAUUAUUAAUCCUGCCUUUGGUGGCAGGGGAGACUUCCAGAAAGGCCUUGUGGAUAUUUUCACCGGCUCAGAAAAUCUGGGAAGUCAGAGUGCUGGUGACCUUCACCCACAUAGUGUUUCUGUCGGAAAUCCAGAGGGAAUUGGAAGUUGGGCCAGUUUGGUGGGUUCAAGCAAACUGGUGUAUUGAGCCUAUUAGAGCAGAGGUGUUUGAGGUUGCCAGAACCCGGCCAGUGGAGGCCUCGCUCGUGUUCUGGGAAGCUCCUGGGACGACUUUGGCUGAGUAAACGCACAUCUCUAACUGGGCCUAAGGUGAGUAGAGCGCCUGCGCCACUCAGCCCAGCAGGGCUCCCUUUUCAGCCCUUCUCUGACAGAUUGCUUUGUAAACUUCCUUAGGCCUCUCUCCCCCUUGCUCCGGUGCUUUAAGUCCUUCUUUGUCCUCCCUCUGUUUCUUUUAUUCCUCAGGCCUGCCUGGGGGCAGGACAACUUUCCUCUCCCAGCCCAGCUUGGCUGCUUGCCUCCUUCUGAGUGCUUUUCUCUCUCUUCACCUGGGACCCUCAAGAGGGUGGAGGAGAAGAGAGGCGAGAACAGAAGCUGCGUUUGGUGCCCUUGAGGAGGAAGGGUAGGAAAGAUAGUGGGUGAGGGGUUUCCUGCUGCAGCCUUCAGCUGGACUCAGGUUGGGGUUACUGGAGAAGGAGCUGGCUUCCUGCCCCAUUGUUCAGGACUUCAUUGUUUCUCAGGAAUACUUAUUGUAUGUGAAUUUUCAAUAAUUAACUUGCAAAGCUGUACGUGUGCCAAUCAUUCAGCAAACAGUGAGCACCUACUGCGUACAGAGGUGGCAGCACAGCCUAUCAGCACAGAAAGGGGCCAGAAGAACCUUCUGGCCAGGGUCUCCAAAUCAGGCUUUUGACACAAUCUCCAAACGGGGUUUCACAUUAUGGCAGAUCCACUGACCGGUUUGAUCAAAGACCCUCCGUCUGUGUCCCUAAACUUGUUUCUCAUUAACAGACCGCUAGGCCUGUGGUGCAUUAUAAAUUAUUAUAUUUCAAUAAAUCCUAUCAUUAUCUUGUGAGAAGCACAAUUAUGUUGUAUUUUUUUUUGGAUUCUUAGAAGCAUUAAUUUAUUAAACAUGGAAAAACUUGCCUCAGUGUUUGCGAAUUUGUUUUGCCAUCUCCUCAUUUUCAAAAAUACCAGGCACAUCAAAAAAUCAAAGUGCCCCGGGCUCCUCUUGACCCGCCCCCCACCCCCACCAGGAGCAGAGAGGAAGCCUCAUCACAGCACAAGGAGCUGGGGACACGGGGACACGUGCAGUGACUAGGAGUCCCUGCAGUCCAACUGCUGUAGUACAUGAUGAGCAAGUCUGUGCCGAGGAGGGGGCGGACUGAGAGCAGAGGGCAGGGGAGGAGGCUUCGGAGAGGAGGUGACAUCUGAGCUGGCUUGCGAAGACUGUAGGAGUCUCGGAGGUGGAGAAGAGAGGGGAGGGAAAGCAUUCCAGUCUUGCAGAACAGCAUGUGCGAAGUCACGGAGGCGUGAAAGGACAAAGCUUGUUCCAGGAUAGCCAGGACUGUGCAUGGCUAGAAGGAACGGUGUGGAGGUGGAGUGGCAGGAGGAGGAAGCCGAGCAGGGACAGUCUCUUGUGUCCCCUUGCCUGCCUGUCUCUGCCUUUGGCUGUGGAUCAGCAGAGCCGGUGAUGAGGUACAGAUGGGGGGGGGGGUGCGGCCUGGGGGCUGGCCUGGGGUGAGAAGAGCAGAUUGACUCUGCAGAAGGAGCGGGCAGUGGAAAGGAUAGGGAAGUUCUUUAGGAACCCAUGCAUUUCAGCUAGUUUUCUCCCGAGAGGAUCAACAUUUUCCAAAAAUGUAAACAAUUGCAUUAAAAAAUGUACAAGCUUACUUAGCAUUAUUCAGCCUACUUAAAGGCAUCGCGAGGCCCACAGUCACUGAACAUGUCUCUAUUCAGUACCAGACACUGCGGGGAGAUAGGACACCGCCCUCACGGUGACUGAAGGGCUGUCGUAAGGAUUACAUUUGAGAAUGGCUCCAAAACAUGGGCACAGAGAGGGACUGGCCACACGGCGGCCAUGACUGUUAUGAGGGAAGUAAAACACAUCACAGAUACUCUGUGAGAUAAAGCCGUAUUUCAAAGCAGCUUAGCGCGUGAACAAGGACCCGGGUUCAAGUCCAGAUUCUGUCUCCUAGAAGCAAAUUGCUCUCUGGACUUUGGUAUCCUCAGUUUUGUAAAAAGAGUGUAGUAAUAACAAUUCAGAGAGACAGAAAGUAGAACAGUGCUUGCC
ensembl:lncRNA